rnacentral:miRNA from 1 species
ACUGCACUGACCUGGGGUGAGU